rnacentral:rRNA from 1 species
GACGAACGCUGGCGGCGUGCUUAACACAUGCCAGUCGAACGGAAAGGCCCCUUCGGUGGUACUCGAGUGGCGAACGGGUGCGUAACACGUGAGUAACCUGCCCUUGACUUCGGGAUAACUUCAGGAAACUGGGGCUAAUACCGGUUAGGAAUCCUUGCUGCAUGCUGGGGGUUGGAAAGCUUCGGCGGUUUUUGCUGGACUCGGUGCUUAUCAGCUUGUUGGUGGGGUAGUGGCUUACCAAGGCUUUUUCGGGUAGCCGGCCUGAGGGGGCGACCGGCCACAUUGGGACUGAGGUACGGCCCAGACUGCGACGGGAGGCAGCAGUGCGGAAUAUUGCACAAUGGGCGGAAGCCUGAUGCAGCAACGCCGCGGGCGGGAUGACGGCCUUCGGGUUGUAAACCGCUUUCAGCAGGGGCGAAGCUUGUGGUGACGGUACCUGCAGAAGAAGCACCGGCUAACUACGUG